rnacentral:rRNA from 1 species
CCUACGGGGGGCAGCAGUGGGGAAUUUUGCGCAAUGGGCGAAAGCCUGACGCAGCAACGCCGCGUGGGUGAUGAAGGUCUUCGGAUCGUAAAACCCUGUCGUCAGGGACGAAGGUUGCAUGUCGAACAGAUGUGCAGCUUGACGGUACCUGGAGAGGAAGCCCCGGCUAACUCUGUGCCAGCAGCCGCGGUAAUACAGAGGGGGCAAGCGUUAUUCGGAGUUAUUGGGCGUGAAGGGUGAGGUGGGGGGUGGAAUCCCCGAGCUUAACUUGGGAACUGCAUCUCAGACUGGAACGCUGGAGUGCUGGAGAGGGUGGUGGAAUUCCACGUGUAGCGGUGAAAUGCGUAGAGAUGUGGAGGAACACCAGUGGCGAAGGCGGCCACCUGGACAGUAACUGACGCUGAGGCGCGAAAGUGUGGGGAGCAAACAGGAUUAGAUACCCUAGUAGUC